rnacentral:rRNA from 1 species
GAUGAACGCUGGCGGCGUGCCUAAUACAUGCAAGUCGAGCGAACAGACGAGGCGCUUGCUCCUCUGACGUUAGCGGCGGACGGGUGAGUAACACGUGGAUAACCUACCUAUAAGACUGGGAUAACUUCGGGAAACCGGAGCUAAUACCGGAUAAUAUAUUGAACCGCAUGGUUCAAUAGUGAAAGACGGUUUUGCUGUCACUUCUAGAUGGAUCCGCGCCGCAUUAGCUGGUUGGUAAGGUAACGGCUUACCAAGGCAACGAGGCGUAGCCGACCUGAGAGGGUGAUCGGCCACACUGGAACUGAGACACGGUCCAGACUCCUACGGGAGGCAGCAGUAGGGAAUCUUCCGCAAUGGGCGAAAGCCUGACGGAGCAACGCCGCGUGAGUGAUGAAGGUCUUCGGAUCGUAAAACUCUGUUAUUAGGGAAGAACAAAUGUGUAAGUAACUAUGCACGUCUUGACGGUACCUAAUCAGAAAGCCACGGCUAACUACGUG